CAGUAGCCGCGGUAAAACGUAGGGUGCAAGCGUUAAUCGGAAUUACUGGGCGUAAAGCGUGCGCAGGCGGCUAUGCAAGACAGAUGUGAAAUCCCCGGGCUCAACCUGGGAACUGCAUUUGUGACUGCAUGGCUAGAGUACGGUAGAGGGGGAUGGAAUUCCGCGUGUAGCAGUGAAAUGCGUAGAUAUGCGGAGGAACACCGAUGGCGAAGGCAAUCCCCUGGACCUGUACUGACGCUCAUGCACGAAAGCGUGGGGAGCAAACAGGAUUAGAUACCCCCGUAGUCCCUGUCUCUUAUAC
rnacentral:rRNA from 1 species